UACUCGGCUUGUGUUGGUCUCCUACGUC
rnacentral:sRNA from 1 species